GCGACCCCAGGUCAGGCGGGAAUACCCGC
rnacentral:rRNA from 1 species